AAGAGUCGGACACAACUGAGCAACUGAACUGAACUGAACUGAUUCUUCAUUAUGAGCUUAGACCAGCAUGAUUGCAAGAUACUGGUGAGGAUGCUCAUAUGCCUAGCAUGGCAAAUAGAACUGAUCAGCUAAGCCAUUUAACUGGAUGGUUGUUCUCUGUAGCCCUUGGUCUCCAGAUCUGUGAGGUCUGCUGUAGGAGAAUCCACACGUGCUCCUGCAUGGAGAAGGAAAGUGCCCUGCGAGGUGUGGCUCCAGCCGUCUCCCCUGGCCAUUCCCCUCUCUGCCUGGCAGCCUUCGGAGUGAUGCUCACACGGCCUUUGCCCUCCAUGAGAUGCUGUCGAAGACAGAUUCAGAAGCCCAGCCUCCUUCUGGAAAACAGACCAUAAAGUAAGUCUUUGACAUCAAGUGUAUUGGAAUGACCAUGUUGUGUUUCUUAAACCGCCUUGAGAAAGGGGAGAACUGAGAUUCACAUAAUGAAAUCUGAGUCCUGUGUGGCCUUGGCCAUCCUUCAGAUUUACUGAGGGUGCUUACGCCUUCAUCUGCACCUUAUGGUUUCAAAUCUGAAAGAGAGGUACUGAAUUUCAAGGUAGGUGAUGAUCUGACAUCAAUUCUCAGGUGCAGCAGUGUUCUUUCUCAUGGUGGGGCUGGAGGUAGGACUCAUUACUGGAUGCAGGACUAAUUUUGUGCUUCUCACAAAAUUCUGUAGAACCUUCUCAAACAGUGUCCUAAUCUCAUCCACCAAGGGAAGGAGGUUUAAGGGAAAUAGAGAUUAUGCUUCAUACUUGGGUGUACUGCUCAUGGUUUUAAACAUUUGGGCGUGUCACCCUCUCCUCCUAGGCCAUACUGGCACUUCAUGAUGCGUUUCCGCAACAUUCUAAUAACAACAGAAUGGGAAAGACUAGAGAU